rnacentral:rRNA from 1 species
AACGAACGCUGGCGGCAGGCCUAACACAUGCAAGUCGAACGCUCCGCAAGGGGAGUGGCGCACGGGUGAGUAACGCGUGGGAAUCUACCUAUUAGUAAGGAAUAACAGUUGGAAACGACUGCUAAUACCUUAUACGCCCUACGGGGGAAAGAUUUAUCGCUAAUAGAUGAGCCCGCGUAAGAUUAGCUAGUUGGUGAGGUAAUGGCUCACCAAGGCUACGAUCUUUAGCUGGUCUGAGAGGAUGAUCAGCCACACUGGAACUGAGACACGGUCCAGACUCCUACGGGAGGCAGCAGUGGGGAAUAUUGGACAAUGGGCGAAAGCCUGAUCCAGCCAUGCCGCGUGAGUGAUGAAGGCCUUAGGGUUGUAAAGUCCUUUCGCCGCCGAGGAUAAUGACGGUAAGCGGAUAAGAAGCCCCGGCUAACUUCGUGCCAGCAGCCGCCGCGG